GACCCACCUGGACAUCAGAGAGCAAAAAAGUACAGAGUGGGGGUCCAGAUGUCUUCUGAUUACGAGCCAACACAAGAGAUUAUGUUGGACCUUGAAGCAGUUGGGGAGGACUACCACAGCUUUCAAGAGCAUAUAAACGGCAUAAACAAUUAGUUGUGCCGUCGUCAGCCAGAUAUU